GGCGGGGAGCGCGAGCGGCGGCGGCCACUGCCACGUAUUCCCGGCAGUGGCGGCGGCGCGGGAGGCGCUGAGCGGCGCGGGCGCCCGCGGGCAGGAAUAACUGAAGUCACCUUUACUGGAAAUCAGUUUGCUGAAACUAUUGAAAGAGCCAUUCUUGAAGUUGAAGAAAAGGAGGUUCUGCACCUUCACCGGAGGAGUGUGGCCCUUCCUUCAAAACGCUCUCUGGACGCACCCUCCUAGCAUCCCCUAGGGAAGAUGCGGCAGCUCAAAGGGAAGCCCAAGAAGGAGACGUCCAAGGACAAGAAGGAGCGGAAGCAGGCCAUGCAGGAGGCCCGACAGCAGAUCACCACGGUGGUGCUGCCCACGCUGGCUGUCGUCGUGCUCCUGAUCGUGGUGUUCGUCUACGUGGCCACACGCCCCACCAUCACCGAGUGAGCCCCGCAGCCGUGCGGACUCCCCCAGCAGGGAGCGGAGGUGUGGGAGGGGGCAAGCGAAAGAAAAAUGGCUUUCAUAUUCAGAGAUGUUCCUGAGGCUAAGCUCUAAGCAGAGCACCCUGUCUUCUCUGGUCUUUGACUUGAUUAAAGUUUCUCCACUUUUCUUGGGAGGGAAUAGGGAACGUUUUAUCAGUGAACGUGCCAUACACCUUAUGGUCCACUUCAUGUGCCUUUCAGACUUCAAAGCAGUGUGUGUGUUUCUUUUUCUCUCCUAAAAUCGAUGUGUAGCUCCACGUGGUGAGAGCAGGAAUCUCUGGGUCAUGAAUCAGUUGGAAUCAGCGCUCACCCCAUCCCCAUUGUUUUGAACAUGUCUCUUUCCUACACAUGUUCACAAUUUCCAAAGGGACUUAUUUCUUCUCUGUGCUUAAUGUGAUUUGAAAUAUGUCGAUUCAAAAGUGAAAUAUUUAUUUUUUGAAUAAAGGAGAUAAUAGCCUUAAACUGGAUGUUUAUCUUGU